rnacentral:lncRNA from 1 species
AACAAGCAAAAUUAAAAAAGCACAAAAGUUCUGUAUUUUUCUAACUAAUCAUGAAAUGUGGUAUGCAUACUAGAAUUAAUUAACUAAUUAACCUUGUCAUAAAUUGCAAAUGAAAGUAUUAUAAGUUUCUAAUUUUUUAUAAACAAAAAACCUAAAAUUCUCUAUUUCUAAUUUCUCUAAACAAGCAAAAUUAAAAAAAGCACAAAAAUUCUCUAUUUUUCUAACUAAUCAUGAAAUGUGGUAUGCAUACUAGUUAUAAUUAACUAAUUAACUCGGUCACAAAUUGAAAAUUAAAGUAUUAUAUGUUUUAAAUUUUUUUUAAAUAAUUAAAAUAAAAAACAUAGUAUCACUAUUUCUCUAAAAAAAUACGUCGAUAUUGAGAAGAUGAAGCUAGUGACCUUUUAAAAAAAUCAUAAAAUAAAAAACAACAUACAUAACACUAGAAAAUGACAUAUGCCGCUGCUAAAUAUUGAGAAGAUGAAUCUAGUGACCUCUUAACAAGUCGAUGACGGCGUAGAAAUGAUGAAAUGAAUCAAUAGCCGGAGAUGAGAGCAAGAACAAAGCAACUGCAAAUGAAGAACACAACAAAAGAGUGAAGAUCGAUGUGCUUGGCUAGGGGAAGAAGAAGAGUUUAAAUAUGGGGAAGGACAUUUAGUCUCGGUUUCAUUUAACAACCGGAACUAAAGUCCAACAUUAGUCCCGACCGGUGAGACGGACCGAGACAACACCUUUU